rnacentral:rRNA from 1 species
UUUUUAUGGAGAGUUUGAUCCUGGCUCAGGACGAACGCUGGCUGCGUGCUUAACACAUGCAAGUCGAACGCUGAAGCCCUGGUGCUUGCACCGGGGUGGAUGAGUGGCGAACGGGUGAGUAACACGUGAGUAACCUGCCCCCGACUUCGGGAUAAGCCCGGGAAACUGGGUCUAAUACCGGAUAUGACGACCGAAGGCAUCUUUGGUUGUGGAAAGUUUUUUCGGUUGGGGAUGGGCUCGCGGCCUAUCAGUUUGUUGGUGAGGUAAUGGCUCACCAAGACGACGACGGGUAGCCGGCCUGAGAGGGCGACCGGCCACACUGGGACUGAGACACG